CAGCUUCCUAAGCAUUAAAGAAAGGAAGUGGCCCCACUGAGCAAAUUCCUUGAAAAUGAAAACACAAGUCGAAGUUGUGAGAAGCUGCAGAGUCACAAGGUACCCGCCUCUUCUCAAAGGUAUGAGGAUGAGACUGACGAUGAAACCAGCCCUACCCAGAAGGAACGCAUAGCUUAGAAAAGAGAAUGAGAAAGAUCGUGACCAGAGGGACAGUGAAGAGGAAAAAGAGAAGAACACCCACACCAGAAUCCAGGAGGGAACUGCCGGCUGUCUCCUCUUCUGGGUGCUGAAGACAGAGGGAGGGGACGCCAGGCAGAUUUAAGGCCUACGGACAUCAGAAGUGCGGCGACCAGAGGCAUUAGAGGUGGUGGUAACAGAGG